UACCAGCACCCCGAGUGGUCGGGACGUUUUAUUGGGCCUAAAGCAUCCGUAGCCGGUUCUACAAGUCUUCCGUUAAAUCCAGCUGCUUAACAGAUGGGCUGCGGAAGAUACUAUGGAGCUAGGAGGCGGGAGAGGCAAGCGGUACUCGAUGGGUAGGGGUAAAAAUCCGUUGAUCCAUUGAAGACCACCAGUGGCGAAGGCGGCUUGCCAGAACGCGCUCGACGGUGAGGGAUGAAAGCUGGGGGAGCAAACCGG
rnacentral:rRNA from 1 species